rnacentral:rRNA from 1 species
GGAGUUAGCCGGUGCUUCUUCUGUGAGUGAUGUCCUUCCUGCCGGCUAUUAACCCGCAGGCCUUCUUCCUCACUGAAAGUGAUUUACAACCCGAAGGCCUUCUUCACACACGCGGCAUGGCUGGAUCAGGGUUGCCCCCAUUGUCCAAUAUUCCCCACUGCUGCCUCCCGUAGGAGUCUGGGCCGUGUCUCAGUCCCAGUGUGGCUGAUCAUCCUCUCAGACCAGCUACGGAUCGUCGCCUUGGUGAGCCGUUACCUCACCAACCAGCUAAUCCGACAUAGGCUCAUCCGAUAGCGCGAGGCCCGAAGGUCCCCCGCUUUCCCCCGUAGGGCGUAUGCGGUAUUAGCCUGGGUUUCCCCAGGUUAUCCCCCACUACCGGGCAGAUUCCUAUGCAUUACUCACCCGUCCGCCGCUCGCCACCAGGGAGCAAGCUCCCCGUGCUGCCGCUCGACUUGCAUGUGUUAGGCCUGCCGCCAGCGUUCAAUCUGAGCCAGGAUCAAACUCUGA